CUACGAGCACCACCAUAUCUAUCGCCGCCAUCACCACCGCUACCCCCAAUACCAGCACUAUCUUCUCCAAUAUUAGAUAUUUCAGAUUCAAAAAUUUUUUGUUACUACCGUCGUCUUUUUCUCCGGAAGAGAACUUUCUCUCCUUUUAUUAAGAUGAAUAUUUGAUUCAGAUUUUGGAGUUCGAGAGAGAUUGAGGUUUUAAUUAUGCAUUUUAUUUUUCUGUAUUAGUUUCUUGUGGUGGUAGUGGUGGUGACGGUGAUUGAAUUUAUAAAGCUAGGAUUAGGGAUUUGAGCUACUGGUGGUGGUGGUGGUGUGGUAACUAGAUAUGAUUUUGAUUUUUGUUGGAUACUUUGAACAUGGUUAUUAGUUUUAUUAAAGGUUCGACUGCUUAAUAAAAAGUCAUCGAUUUUGAUUGCUGGAUCUAAGAAGUGACUAACAUUAUUAUGGUGUUUUUAAACUUGAUUCAACCAUGCACUUGAGGUAAUCACUCCGUCUCUCAAACUUUCAUUUCCAAUUUCAAUUUUUGGUCUGGUUGAGAGAUUGCAAUUGAUGUUUCUUAAGCUUAAAAAUCUUAAUUGAAUUUAUUCUCAAGAACUGCUCCUAAUUAAAAGGUGGUGGUUUUGGUUGGAAUGAUAAAAUUGGUGAUGGAAAUCCAGAAAUAUUGGCUAUGGUGGGGUUAAAAUGGUUCUGGUUGUUGUUGUGGUGGUGGAGAUGUGUAAUUGUUGGUGGUGGUGAGGUUCGAAUGAUAAAUUAGUUACGAAAAUAGUGGUGGGUGGUGGUUCUGGUUGAUAUAGUUGUGGAAAUUGGGUGUAAAUUAUUAGUGGUUUGGGAGAUGGUGGUUGUGUGGUUUCUUCAUGAUACGAAAGAAAAGAGUUGCAGUGAUGUUUCAGCCGUAAAGCACUUUUAUUGUAAUCUCUAAACAACGUUUCGUGUGCUGCUUUAGGUAUCAACUUCAGUUGUUGACACCAGAUUCUGGAAUCAACUUUGGUUGUUGACAUUAAAUAUAUUUUUUUUCUUAUUUUCUGAUUUUUGUUUUUGGGGAUCAACUUAGAUUGUUGACGCCACUGGCGACGGCGG